UUCACGAGCUCCCGAACCCGAACCCAAAACCAAACCCUAUCUUCCAUUUCUCUCUCACGCCUACAAUACUCUAUGCACUCGAGCUACAUCGUUUCUUAUUUUCUCCUCAAAUCGUCGACAUCGACCGAGUUGAUCGUCGGUUGUUCGUGAGGAAACAUUUUUCGGUGGUGAAAAAGACGGAAAGAGGAAGAAAGGCGACAAGGAUCAAAACCUAAUGGGAGGCACGUGUUUUCUGGGCGACAAUUGAUUAAUCGAUUUCUUUUGAUUACUCUCAGAUUCGUUUGUAUAAUGUUUGCUGUAUUUAUGACCGGUUAUCUAAUUAGGUUAAUUUUUAUUCAGUCAUUUCUCUACGUCUUAAGAGUUGAGUUUGUAUUCCCCCAUUUUUUUUUUUUUUUUUGCAUCUUGUUCUGGGAUUCUUAGAUCAAUAUUAAUACAUUUUGUUGCA